rnacentral:rRNA from 1 species
GAUGAACGCUGGCGGCGUGCCUAAUACAUGCAAGUCGAGCGAACAGACGAGGAGCUUGCUCCUCUGACGUUAGCGGCGGACGGGUGAGUAACACGUGGAUAACCUACCUAUAAGACUGGGAUAACUUCGGGAAACCGGAGCUAAUACCGGAUAAUAUAUUGAACCGCAUGGUUCAAUAGUGAAAGACGGUUUUGCUGUCACUUAUAGAUGGAUCCGCGCCGCAUUAGCUAGUUGGUAAGGUAACGGCUUACCAAGGCAACGAUGCGUAACCGACCUGAGAGGGGGGUCGGCCCCACUGGAACUUGAACCCGGUCCAAGCCCCUACGGGGGGCAACAGUAGGGAAACUUUCGCAAUGGGGGGAAGCCUGACGGGAGAACCCCGGGGGGGGGAUGAAGGUUUUCGGGUCGGAAAACUCUGUUAUUAGGGAAGAACAAAUGUGUAAGUAACUAUGCACGUCUUGACGGUACCUAAUCAGAAAGCCACGGCUAACUACGUG